GGGUCGGUAGCUGAGACGGCAUAGCGGCGGUCUGAAGAACCGCAGACGAGGAUUCGAGCGCCUCCCGACCCACC
rnacentral:tRNA from 2 species